ACACAUGCAAGUCGAGGGGAAACGACAUCGAAAGCUUGCUUUUGAUGGGCGUCGACCGGCGCACGGGUGAGUAACGCGUAUCCAACCUGCCCACCACUUGGGGAUAACCUUGCGAAAGUAAGACUAAUACCCAAUGAUAUCUCUAGAAGACAUCUGAAGGAGAUUAAAGAUUUAUCGGUGAUGGAUGGGGAUGCGUCUGAUUAGCUUGUUGGCGGGGUAACGGCCCACCAAGGCUACGAUCAGUAGGGGUUCUGAGAGGAAGGUCCCCCACAUUGGAACUGAGACACGGUCCAAACUCCUACGGGAGGCAGCAGUGAGGAAUAUUGGUCAAUGGACGAGAGUCUGAACCAGCCAAGUAGCGUGCAGGAUGACGGCCCUAUGGGUUGUAAACUGCUUUUAUAAGGGAAUAAAGUGAGUCUCGUGAGACUUUUUGCAUGUACCUUAUGAAUAAGGACCGGCUAAUUCCGUACCAGCAGCCGCGGUAAUACGGAAGGUCCGGGCGUUAUCCGGAUUUAUUGGGUUUAAAGGGAGCGUAGGCCGGAGAUUAAGCGUGUUGUGAAAUGUAGAUGCUCAACAUCUGCACUGCAGCGCGAACUGGUUUCCUUGAGUACGCACAAAGUGGGCGGAAUUCGUGGUGUAGCGGUGAAAUGCUUAGAUAUCACGAAGAACUCCGAUUGCGAAGGCAGCUCACUGGAGCGCAACUGACGCUGAAGCUCGAAAGUGCGGGUAUCGAACAGGAUUAGAUACCCUGGUAGUCCGCACGGUAAACGAUGGAUGCCCGCUGUUGGUCUG
rnacentral:rRNA from 1 species